rnacentral:RNase_P_RNA from 1 species
GAAGCUGGCCAGACAGUCGCUGUGUGCGGAACAAACCGGAGGGGGCAACCCGUCCGUGCCGGACACAGAGGAAAGUCCGGGCUCCACAGGGUAGGGUGACGGGUAACUCCCGUCCGCCGUGAGGCGAGGAACAGGGCCACAGAGAACGAACCGCCGAUGGCCGCCUGACUGGCGGCGCGCAAGCGCCGCGAAGUCUCCCUUGAAUGGGAUAGGGGGCGCGCGAGCGCCCGUGCAGUUUGCGCAAGCGAACCGCGACGGAUCAGGUAAGGGUGAAAAGGUGCGGUAAGAGCGCACCGCGUUCGCGGUAACGCGAACGGCACGGUAACCUCCACCCGGAGCAACACCGAAUAGGCAAGCGAUGACGCGUCCCGCCGAGCUUGCGGGUAGGUGGCUUGAGCCGUGCAGCAAUGCACGGCCCAGAGGAAUGACUGUCCACGACAGAACCCGGCUUACCGGCCAGCUUCACCC